CUGCAAAGUGGUGUAGUGUGCACAAAAGAGUUUGAGUCUUUAAGAGUUAAUUUAGUGUUAUCCUUUGUA
rnacentral:tRNA from 1 species